GAGCAAUUUCUGCAACAAAUUAAGUAGAGUUUACCCAGAAUCCCAACCCGUAUGUUUCUCCCCUCUCCUGUAAAUCUCCACAACAAUAAGUAUAACAGUCAAUAUAUAUGGACACAGCUGCAUGAGGGCAAAUCAAGGAAAAACAGAAAAACACAUCAAUCAGGUUGCUUGUUCAAUAUACACACCUUCACAAACAUUAUCUUCUCCUUUUCAUAUUUUCUUUCUAGCACAUAAUAAGCACCAUCAUCCAUAUUUCAAAGUCCUGAUUGUUAAUUUUGCAUGUGUGUGUGGCAAUCUGGAUUCAGCAAAAGCUCUGAAUCCUUUCCUGGGAAUCUUAGUGUUAUCAUAGAUUCUUCCCUGCUAAAGAAUACUUGUUGGAAAUAAGAAACACAAGAGGUUUUAUAUGCUAAUAAUAAUAUGCUACAGAAAUACAAAAACCAGAAAUGAGAUGACCAAAAAAAAUGAGCUUGUAGUAUAAAUACCAACUGCAACUACCAACUACAAACGCCUUGUCCCAGCUUAUCAGGAAAUCAUCUUCUCAAGCGUAUAGUACAAAAACCAAAUACUUUGUAGAAGCAUAUAUAUGCACCCCCCCCCCUAUAUUUUAAUAUAAAUGCACCGUAAUUUUACGCCCCGCAAAUUUUAUUUUAUUUAAUACGUAAAAUAAUGAUGGUAAGAAAAUAUAUAAUGGCCAUAAAAAUAUUUUAUGUUACGUAAAAUCACAAACGUAAAAACAUAGUGUAUAAUAUGCACAAAAUGCUAUUUUCCUGGUCUUAUGACCUAUAUAUUUGUUUUCUUAUGCCAAAUUUUACGCAGUGAAUCAAUAUGAAUAUAACUAUUUAUAUUGCAAAUAUAAUUUAUUUAUAGAAGGAUCGUAAAAUUACCUUGGAUAAAGAAUAACUUAAGAGAGAGAGAAAGGCUCAAUGGCAAUGGGCAUAUGUGCAGUAGAGCCGUAACCUUAAAUAUUGUUGCCAUGCUUAUCUGCACUAAAAAGGAUAAAGAGUGACCCUGACCCAUGUGCAUUGAGGGGUACACCAAAGUUAGUCAUAUGCCUAAGCUUGGUUUGUGGAAAAGGAAAAAAACAAUUAUUUAUUGUAGGAACGGGGGAGAGAGGAGUACCUCCAGCACAAGUGUUUUGUGCGUGGCGGCUGUCUCAGGAACGGGAGAUGGCUGGGAGCCUCCUUUUAGGUUAGUCCCACUACAUGGGCCUGGGCCCUAAGAGAUAACUUGUAUGGGCUGGGCCAUACCAGUUCAACACUUCCCCUCAAGAUGGGUGGUAGAUAUCUAUCAUUCCCAUCUUGUCACAUGCCAAGUUACAAUCCUUUCUUCCCAGACCCUUUGUCAAACAAUCUGCAAACUGCUGCCCAGAACUGACAUGAGUAAGGCUGAUGACCCCGGCAUCAAGCUUCUCCUUAAUGAAGAACCGAUCAAUUUCCACAUGCUUUGUCCUAUCAUGUUGAACUGGGUUAUUAGCGAUGGCUAUAGCUGACUGAUUGUCACACCACACCUUCAAGGGCCCCUUCCUCAGAAGUUUCAACUCGCUCAGUAGGUACUUCACCCAGAGCAUCUCACACAACCCUUGAGAUAAUGCUCUAUACUCAGCUUCUGCUGUUGAUCUAGACACAACCGGCUGUUUCUUGCUUCUCCAUGAUACCAAAUUUCCUCCCACAAACACGCAGUAACCAGAAGUUGAUCUUCUAUCAUCUUGACAACUGGCCCAGUCAGAGUCACUAUAGCCAUCCACCUCAAGAUGUCCACUCUUCCCAAACCACAACCCUUUACCCGGAGUCCCCUUCAAGUAUCUCAGGAUUCUGUGCACAAUAUCAAGAUGCCCACUCCUUGGUUCAUGCAUGUAUCUGCUCACCACCCCCGUAGCAUACGUAAUGUCAGGCCUGGUAUGACACAAGUACAACAACCUUCCAACCAGUUUCUGAUACUCUUCCUUAUUCACUAGCUCUCCUGAUUGUGCUGUCACUUGGUGAUUUUUUUCAAUCGGAGUAGGGGCAGUACGACAUCCCAUCAUGCCCACGUCACUCAAGAGAUCCAAGGUGUAUUUUCGUUGGCACAAAGAGAUUCCCUUCUCUGUCCGAGCCACUUCAAUGCCAAGAAAGUAUUUUAGGUUACCCAAAUCCUUUACCUCAAACUCCUUGCUCAAACAACCCUUCAAUCUCUCUAUUUCCUCCUCAUCAUCUCCAUCUCCAGUGAUGAUAAUGUCAUCCACAUAAACAGCAAGAAUGGUGAUCUUCCGAUCAGAGUGCUUGUAGAACAUCGUGUGGUCACCGUUACACUGACCAUACCCCAUACCACGGACAGCACGUCUGAACCUAUCAAACCAGGCCCUUGGUGAUUGCUUCAGUCCAUACAAGGAUUUCUUCAGCCUGCAUACCUUCCCCGUAGUCUCUGAAGUACCAAAACCUGGUGGUAUUUCCAUGUAGACUUCUUCUUGCAACUCACCAUGCAAGAGGGCAUUUUUGACAUCUAAUUGAUGCAACUUCCACCCAAAGUUUGCAGCACAGGAGACCAAUAUCCUUACUGUGUUCAUCUUUGCCACGGGAGCAAACGUCUCAUCAUAGUCAAUUCCAUAAGUUUGACUAUAUCCUCUGGCGACCAAUCUGGCCUUAUACCGUUCCACCUUCCCUUCAGGAUUCUGCUUCACUACAUAGAUCCACUUACAACUCACUGCUUUCUUUUCUGUCGGCAAUGUGGUUAGCACCCAUGUCUUGUUUUUCCUUAGUGCUUCCAACUCUUCUAUCAUCGCUUCACGCCACCUCGGAUCUUGCUUUGCAGCCUUCCAAUCCUUUGGAAUUGACACAGUUUGAAGGGAGGCAACAAACGCCUUAUAUGUGGGUGACAAAGCCUUAUAAGACACAAAAUUGCCAAUAUCAAGAUCAUCACAAGCAUCAUCCUUCGGUAGAGCCUUCCUUGCUACUUCACCCUUUCUUGCCGCUUCACGUGUAGCCUUUCGCAAUGCAAUGGGCAGCUCCACUGUGUCAGAUGAGCUCGUCUCACUAUCUUGCUGCUCCCCCUGCACUCUUGCCUCACUGUCUUGCUGCUCCCCUUGCACGUGUGGUUGCCGUCGAGAGUACACUAGGGUGUUCGUCUGCCAUCGAUCCCGAACAGGAACCCGAAGAGCACCAAUCUUAAGUGUAUCGACGGUUGGCUCGACAGGAACCUGCACAUCAUCAUCAGUGAGAGUACUAACCGGAAUUGUUCCCACUGUUGGUUGGACCUGAACUUGCACAUCAUUAGCAGUGUUAUUGCCCACAGAAUCACCCUGAGUAUGAGACACAUCCUUCUCCCCCUCUUGACCAUCGUGCACAUGAUGUAGGUGGUCAAGCUCUGCAAAUAGCAGACUGAGAUCAGUCGGCGUACCAUAGAAUGGCUCGGACUGCCUGAAGAUAACAUCCAUACUCACGAACCUGCGUUUUUCAGAGGGAGACCAACAUUUAUACCCCUGCUGACUAGAAGAGUAUCCCAGGAAGACACACUUCACUGCCCGAGGAUCAAGCUUUCCAACAUAUGGUCGGUGAUCACGAACAAAGCAAGUACUGCCAAACAACUUUGGGGAAACAACAAACUUAUUAUCUCCAAUGAGCAACUCAGACGGAGAUUUCAUACCUAAUAUCCUGGAAGGUGUCCGGUUGAUCAGGUACGUGGCUGUCAUAACUGCUUCAUCCCAUAAGAACUUAGGCACAUUCAUGGUAAACAUUAAUGACCGAGCAACCUCAAGAAUAUGACGAUUCUUCCUUUCGGCCACUCCAUUCUAAGGUGGGGUGUCCGGACAUGAAGUUUGAUGAAGAAUCCCUUGGUUAGCCAUGAAAUCCCCAAAAAUAUUGUUCACAUACUCUGUACCAUUGUCAGUCCUGAGCACGUUGACCUGCACCUGAAACUGGUUCUUUACAAGAGCAUGGAAGUUCUGAAAACAGCUAAACACCUCAUCCUUGUGACGCAUCAAGUAAAUCCAAGUCAUACGAGAAUAGCAGUCAAUAAAGGUAACAAGAUACUUCUUUCCAUUCAUUGACACUACUGGGCUAGUCCAUACAUCCGAAUGAAUGAGCAUAAAAGAAGAUAUGCUCCUAAGCCCCUUACUCACAUAUGAGGCUCGUGUGUGUUUUGCAUAUUCGCAAGCAUCACAUGUCAACUUGCCAUUGCCUAUUCCACACAUAACAUCCGGAAAGAUUCUACUCAUCUUAUCAAAAGAUACAUGACCCAUUCUACAAUGAUGGAUCAUCGUCUGCUUCUCCUUGUCCUCCAUGGUCGCAGCACACACCAAGUUCGGUUGCACCUCCUGGUCCAUGUACCAGAGCCCCCUACGCCUGGUGCCAGUCUCAACCGUCUGGCUCGUCUAUCCCUCCUGAAUCAAGCAACCGAACUUGUCAAGGAUCACACGACAGUCUAUUUGAUCAAUGAGAGCACUGAAAGAGACCAAAUUGACAGGAAAAGUUGGCACAUGCAAAACUGACGAUAAUGAGAUGGUUGAAGUGCAUGUGACUGUGCCAACCCCUACGACAGGCUGAUUAAUACCAUCGGCAGUUUGUACAGUGCCCUUGUGAGUAGGAGCAUGCUUAUGGUAAGACUCAAACACACACGAAUUACCCGCAACAUGCUUAGAUGCUCCAAAGUCUAAGACCCACUCUAAAGCACUCUCAUUAGGAGGAAGACAUGCCUUCAUCGAAUUACCUUCAUCAGUGGAGGCCCAGUGAGCAAAGUCUCCAUAGGCCGCCUCAUCAACUCCCUUGCCCUGUGACGUCCCAGUGUCCUCUUCAACUACCAUAUGCGCCCUGCCCCCUAAGUUUCCUGAGUAGCCACCUCUGCCCCUAGAAAGUUGACCCCCUGAGUUCCAUGGGUAUCCACCUCUGCCUCGAGCAUACCUUCCUCUGCCAGUGCCCCCUCUGUUGUAUCCCCUGCCUCUACCACGAGUUGGACAUUCCCUCUUCCAAUGACCUACCUCCCCACAAAUAUGACAUUUGUUGGGAUCUCCCCACUCCAUGCGCUCAGUGACUGCAAAUGUCGAAGCUGGCACAAACUUCACGUUUGCAUGCGCAAGAGAUAGCCUCACCUCCUCUUGAGACAUUGCUGCAAUAGUCUCCUCAAUAGUUGGCAGGAGAGGUUGGUGCAACAGGGAAGCCCCCCUGCCAUGAAAGCAACCUCUGAGGCCUUCCAACAGUUUCAGCACGCGCCUGCGUGCAAUCCACUUGCGCCCUGACUCGAUGCACGCCGCAUCAUAGAGUUCCAGAGGAUCACAGUUAUCCUGCUCUGCCCACAAAGCCUGCAGCUCUGCUACAUAUGUCAUCACUGACAUGUCAUCGCCUUGGCGCAGCCGACUGAUCUUCCCCUCAAUCUGAGCAAUUAGCAUGAAAUUACCCUUGCCUGAGUAUUGGGUGGAUAGAGUCUUCCAUAUCUCGGCGGACGUGGAUAGUCCCUCCACAGAGCGACCAAUGGAGGGCACCACUGAGUUCAACAACCAGCCAACAAGCACAGAGUUUAUGACCUUCCACCGCUUUCCCUCCGCGGUAGUCUUGUCUCCGGGUUCAUCAACCGCACCCAAUAAGUGCCCAUCAAGUUCCUUCUGUUCCACAGCCAGCAAUGCCCUUCUGGACCAGCUCAAAUAAUUUGUGGCCCCCUCUAGCUUCAUGUCCAGGGGUGACAUUUCGAGCUUCUGAGCCACUUCCUGUCGAGGAACGAUGGCCCCAGAGUUGGAGUUGGACUCCGUGAGGAUCUUAGCGAGCUUCUCGAAAGCCUCAGCAAGCGCAUUUGGUUCAGCCAUCUCCGAUCCGGUAAACAGCAGCAGCAGCCCUCAGCAGCACAGCCCUACAGCUGCACGGUUGGUCCCUUUACACCCCCUGGCUAGCAGCAGCACCCAGCAACUCAGCAGCUCCAAGUGCAAGCAGCAACCACAGCCUCUUCCUCCAGCAGCAGUUCUCUCCCUUCUUCCUCUGCAAACAGCAGCAGUUCUCUUCCUCCUUCCUCUGCAAACAACAGCAGUUCUCUUCCUCCUUCCUCUGCAAACAGCAGCAGUUUCAGAGGAUCUUGGCCUCCAACAGCAGCCAACCCCCGCAGCAGUUCUCCAGCUCCCGGUCCCUGCAGACACACGCACACACACCAGCACAACAAGGAGCUGCCCUUCUCCACUACCCUUCUCCUCUUCUCCUCCCGCAGCACCACAGCCCGUUGGAGACCAAGCCGCUCCUCAGCUUCCUCCUCCUGCCGCGCAACACAGCAGCUCCACCUCUCCUUCUUCCUCUGCCGUGCAGCACAGCCUCCACCUCUCCUUCCUCUCCAACGAGCCGCACCUCCUGCGCAGCCACGCCACGCCUCCCAGAUCCGCCGCUGCCUCGCCGGACGCCGCCCAGAUCCAACGCCACCUCGCCGGACGUCGCCGUCGUCUUCUCAGGCCCCGCCGUCGCUGGCUCUGAUACCAUGUAGGAACGGGGGGAGAGAGGAGUACGGGAGGGAGAGAGGAGUACCUCCAGCACAAGUGUUUUGUGUGUGGCGGCUGUCUCAGGAACGGGAGAUGGCUAGGAGCCUCCUUUUAGGUUAGUCCCACUACAUGGGCCUGGGCCCUAAGAGAUAACUUGUAUGGGCUGGGCCAUACCGGUUCAACAUUUAUGUGCCUAACACACCAGCAAAUCAAAUGCAGCCUCCACUACAUGUCAAUAGUUCCAUGAAAAAAACAAAAAAAACUAAUACGAUAUUUAAUUGUAAGCAUACAACAAAUAGUACCACUCUAAAUCUGGUGUCGCCAUUCCUCAAAACAGAAAUUUUCAACCUUUCUUUUUUUUUAAAUUACAAUAAAGAGUAUCAAUGUUUAAGUUUCUAAGAAAAAAAGGAGAAGAAAAGUUUAGAACCAUGGGUUCAAUAUGAGAUUAGAACUACAGCCACCAUGCGAGUAGCCGAGGAUAGGGAAAUGUUGACAAUAUUAGAGCAUGUUUACGUCAGGAUAAAAUGUUGUCAAAAUUAUUCAUCUAGUUCAAUUAAGUUCUAUGAUGUAUAAAGUAUGUACUUGGCAAGAAAAAUACAAGGGGUUACCUGGAUAUAUGAUGCUGCAGUACACAUAUAUUUAUCUAACUAAAAUUAAGCCCACCACUUCCCGCUCUCAUAUUACUUCAGAAUCAUCAGUAUGAGAAAACAUUGAUACCCAUUACUUUAUACUGAUAAACUCCAUGCUCCGAGACAAGGUUGCACACGUCAUCGCCGACAAUUCCCUUCUCUUCUCGAAUCAACAUAUAACCAUGUUUUUAUCUUACAAGAGAAGGGAAUCCUCGCAAUCUGCUAGAUACAACAAGGUACUUUUGUAUGACGUGCCUGAGCCAUCAAUUUGCCGGUCCUUUUCUUCCUGAAACCAACAGAGACAACACCGACUGAUUUUCCAGCACGCAAUAGCUUCCCCUCAACUUCUAUUUCUUCCUGUAAAAAUAAAAGAAAUAGUUUACGGCAUGUCAAAUAACUAUUAAAAUAACAUAAGAGUGAAAAGACAAAGGUAUGUACAAAAUUAAUCAAGCCUUAUGAUGCUAUUCUAGCAAGAAACUGGCCAAAUCUGCCCUUUGGGGGGUAGGGGUGGGGGCAAAAAUUAUGAGAAAAGAUAACGCCCAUAUGUGUGGGUGUUUGCAAACCGUCCACACGCAUGAAUCUGCGUCUGUUUGUGCUUUGCAUUAAUCUUGGUAUUUUUUGAUAGUUUUUCUGUACCACGUAGGACUGAACUGGUGUGUCGGUAUUUAACCACUUCGCCCACACGGCCGUUUCUUUCUCAGCAGGAAUCUUUUUUGGUUUUCGGUUUAAAAAUGUUUUAUCAUGACAACUUCAGUGUAACAUCAUGACAACUGUUGAAGCACCCAUUUUUUUAAAUGUAACAUCAUGGCAACUGUUGUAACAUCAUGAAAUUUUUUUAAAUGUAGAAGAAAAAAUAGGUGAAACAUAUCAUGGCAACUUCAGUGUAAACACCAUGGCAUGGCAACUACAGUGUAACAUCAUGGCAACUGUUGUCCAAAAAAAUAAUUUAUCGAAAUAUAUUGAUAUGAGAUCUAGUUUCGAAGAUCUCGUCGCGAUGGAUUUAAUGAUAAAAACGGAUCUUCAAUCGGAUUUUUCAUUUACAAGAUAAAACAUUUUAAAAACUCAAAAUCCAAAAAGAUACCCACAUGCAUACAUGUGGUUUGGGCGUUAGCUAUUUUGCCCACACUCAGGCGUGUGAGCUAUUUCUCUUACACACCACACAAGAUGUAUGGGCAACACCCCUUAACACCCAGACGUGUGGGUGUUAUCAGGACCCAAAAUUAUAACCAAGCAACCUGAAAAGUACGUUUGGAUUUUUCAGAGCAAUAUUUGGACAACAUGACAAUAACUAUGAUCCUGAACUAAUUCUAGGAACCUCUUCAGAGCAAUAUCUGAACAAGAUGACAAUAAUUCAGAUCCUAAACUUAUUCUAGGAAACAUUUUGUACCCAGCUCCAGUCUGUAUUGAGCGAGUCAAAGGAAACAAAAAAUGAAUAACACCGUGUAAAUGCAGGCGCACUGAAUUCAACCAUCUUUUCUAAUUAGUACACACUUAUAUUCCUAUAAUAUUAAAAUGACUGGACGGUAAGAAGUGGUGGACCUUUUAUCUUGCCAAUUGAGAAAUAUUCAGUCGAGUAACAGACAAAAAAGAUCUCCACAUUUGAUCUGAACCAAUGAGAAAAGAGGGUCGUGUAUUUAACAUAGGUUCUGAAGUACGAGAAGAAUGCUCACCAAUUUGUUUCAGAUUCGAACUGAAUGCAUAAUAUCUUAGAUCGCGCAACCUAAGGUAAUGCAAAGAAAUAAAAUCAUACUAUUUAGGCAAUCCAAAUAGGCAUUGUAUGUACAGAAAAAUCAAAGGCGAAAUAGCAAAACAUCCAUGAAACUAAGCCAGUCACAUGAUGAUCAUAUUAAUGUCCACCUACAGCGGCCAAGUUUAGAAACCCCAAACGAGUGAGCAGAUGAAGCCAAGAAAAAGAAACACACUGAAGGGGAUCGGGAGACAGGGCCACCUACAUCGACCAAGUUUAGAAACCCCAAACAUGUGAGCAGAUCAAGCCAAGAAAAAAAAACACGAAAGGAGAUCGGGAGACACGACGGAGACCUUGAGGCGGGAAAGAGAGAUGGAGCGGGGUCGGGCUGCUUCUUCCCCUUACCUCUGCCCUCCCCCAUCUUCCCCACAAACCCCACAGCUGCUGCGUUGCUAGGCAUGGAGGGAGAGAGGAGCAGCAAAAGCAAGGACGCGGCGAGGAGGCAAAAACAGGCGGCGGACCUCCUUCAUCUUCCUUCCCCGUACCCGCACCCCACCGUCACUGGAGCUGCUCUUUUCCGGCUCGGAUCCGUUGUCUAGGUGUGUUUAUUUAGACUAACAUAGAUACUAGUAACAUAGAUGCC
rnacentral:lncRNA from 1 species